rnacentral:rRNA from 1 species
UCGAGAAUCUUCGGCAAUGGGCGCAAGCCUGACCGAGCGACGCCGCGUGCGGGAUGAAGGCCUUCGGGUUGUAAACCGCUGUCGUAGGGGAGGAAGGCUCCGUGCAGAACGGAGUUUGACCGAUCCUAGGAGGAAGGGCCGGCUAAUCUCGUGCCAGCAGCCGCGGUAAUACGAGAGGCCCAAACGUUAUUCGGAUUUACUGGGCUUAAAGAGUUCGUAGGCGGCGUGGAAAGUAGGGUGUGAAAGCCCUCGGCUCAACCGAGGAAUUGCGCUCUAAACUACCGCGCUUGAGGAACCUAGAGGUGAGCAGAACUGAUGGUGGAGCGGUGAAAUGCGUUGAUAUCGUCAAGAACACCUAUAGCGAAGGCAGCUAACUAAGCUUUAACUGACGCUGAGGCACGAAAGUGUGGGGAUCAAACAGGAUUAGAUACCCUGGUAGUCCACACUGUAAACGUUGAUUACUCGCUGUUGGCGAUACACAGCCAGCGGCUUAGCG